rnacentral:rRNA from 1 species
GACGAACGCUGGCGGCGUGCUUAACACAUGCAAGUCGAACGGAAAGGCCCUGCUUUUGUGGGGUGCUCGAGUGGCGAACGGGUGAGUAACACGUGAGUAACCUGCCCUUGACUUUGGGAUAACUUCAGGAAACUGGGGCUAUACCGGAUAGGAGCUCCUGCUGCAUGGUGGGGGUUGGAAAGUUUCGGCGGUUGGGGAUGGACUCGCGGCUUAUCAGCUUGUUGGUGGGGUAGUGGCUUACCAAGGCUUUGACGGGUAGCCGGCCUGAGAGGGUGACCGGCCACAUUGGGACUGAGAUACGGCCCAGACUCCUACGGGAGGCAGCAGUGGGGAAUAUUGCACAAUGGGCGGAAGCCCGAUGCAGCAACGCCGCGUGCGGGAUGACGGCCUUCGGGUUGUAAACCGCUUUCGCCUGUGACGAAGCGUGAGUGACGGUAAUGGGUAAAGAAGCACCGGCUAACUACGUG